UCCGUGUUAACCACGGCAGUCUUUCUAGAGUGCCCAACUUAAUGCUGGCAACUAAAAACAGGGGUUGCGCUCGUUGAGGGACUUAACCCGACAUGCCACCACACGAGCUGACGACAGCCAUGCAGCACCUGUCUCUUUGUCGUAUUGCUACGAAAGCUACAUCUCUGCAGUUGUCAAAGGAUGUCAAACCUAGGUAAGGUUCUGCGCGUUGCUUCGAAUUAAACCACAUAAUCCACCGCUUGUGCGGGCUCCCGUCAAUUCCUUUGAGUUUUAGUCUUGCGACCGUACUUCCCAGGCGGGGUACUUAUCGCGUUAGCUCCGGAUCGGCAGGGGUCAACUCCCACCAAUCCUAGUACCCAUCGUUUACAGCGUGGACUAC
rnacentral:misc_RNA from 1 species